UUGAAUGAUAAUUCCGAGCCCUUCUAUAUGGAUUUGUGGAAUCAGUUGCUGAUGACCGUGAUGUAUCCUGAUGAGGAUCUAUAAUGGACGACUGCGUAGGGUGAUUUACGUGAUCGAGUUGUGAGACUCUCACUAUUUGAUUGAGUGAUUUGGAAAGCUCAAGGAGGGAAACUACCAAGCUAUUUAUUUCCCCUCUUUCCAUCCCUGCCUAAUGGAAUUAAGUUCAUUGGCUAGAACUGCAUAAAAGAGUUUAUGGAAUUGACGCUUGGGUUAAUAGUUAUAUGUAAGAUGGUAUCGAUAGAGAGCUUACUAAUGAGGUAUGAAUUGAUUCCUCUCUAUUGCUUGAGCUGAACUCGGUGACGGCAGACACCUUGAGUAUCCAAUACUAAGGAAAGUAUUGAGGAUAAGAGAUUUAUUUGGUUCUACCUGAGGAAUCAAGUGACGAGUGUUAUGAGAUAUACUAUCGAAGGCAAGCCCUUAACCUAAGCUUGCGAAGGAUUUAUUUGGAAAUCUAAGUUGAACAGGUGAUGAAAUUUCUCACUAACGGAAUAGUUGUGAUCUGCCCUAUGUUUGAUGUCAUGAGUAUUAAAACUGAGGAGAUGUCCUUAGUAAAAAUUGUGAAGCUUUUGAGCAUUGAUCCCCAGCAGCAUUCUUGGAUGCGAGGAUGAGGUUGCCGCCCUAGCGGUGGAAUUAAAGGGAUAUGGAAGCAUUGCGAUACGAUGCCGAAUGUUUGGUCAAGUAAUCACCUUUGGUGAGCUAAUUGGGAUGAUUCGUUGACUUCCGUUACUAUCAGAAGGAAUUCUACAAUGGAAGUUGAUUUUGGACUGCUUCGUGGUCAAACAAGAUUGGAAUGGUGGGAUGUUGCAAAUAGAAGCCAUGAGGAAAAUUUACACCAUGCUUAACUAUGGAAUAAAAUUGCACCCAGUUGUGCAAUCUCUUGACGAGCUUUGACCUGGGAUUUGAAGGAUCAUCGUUGGGAUUUGAGUCGACGAUUGGAUUUUAUAUUGUCUCUCUUUGGUGAGUGAUAAUCGUUUGAGCGCUCCGGUGGAGUUUUGAUGGAUUGUGUAACGGGUGUAACCCCUGGAUUCUUUCUAUGGAUAACACUAUUGAAUCCUCUUUAGAAGGAUAUAUGAUGGAAUUCCAUUUAUAAGAGCAAGUUAAAACAGAGCUAGACUUCGCCUCCGACCUGGUUGAAGAAGGUGAGAAAUAGAAUUUAGCCCCGUUGGGGGCACUUGGCUUUGUGUGGAUCAACUGAGGAGCUUGUUGAACGAGCGCUGAUUAGAGAUGGAACUUCCCUAUGGGGACUUGAGUUCGUGAACAUCUAUGGAAGUUUGGCUUGCGACAUGUUGAGUUUCCGGAGCCACGGGAUCUCGGUGUGAGGAUACUUUGGAGCAAUCCAGUAUGCUCGAGACCUGUGGAAUCUGUUUUGUGCGCUGUUGGAGCGCUUCUUCCAUCCUUUUCAGAUGGAUUUGUAAUGUGGUUGAACUGCAGUUUCGCGGACAAAAAUUCUUUUUAGGAGAGGAGAAUGUAACACACUGAACUUUAGCAAAUUGUAAGGUUCGAGUGUUUGAUUCGUGAACUGAGCCUUUUUGGGUUUUCUGUACGAUCGUCGACUGUGUUCCGACCUAUGACUCACGUUUCGAGGAGUGAGGAUGAAAAUCUAGCACCAAAAUCUCUAAAAAAAAAGAUUUGGGCUGCUCUCUGGUUGACUCUGCAGGGCAGAGUACCGGUACUGCAUCGGCUUGGUACCGGAACUGGAUCUGGUACCGGUACUGCAUCGCGAUUGUACCGGUACGCAAUGUAUUUUCUGCUUGGUCGAGGCUCGGGUUGGCAGUUCUCUUGACCUGGUACCGGUACUCUUGCCCGCGUACUGGUACGCAGUGCAGAUGCAGGCUGCACGUUGUUGGAGGGUGUUUUUGGAAUUGUUACAACUCUAUAUAACACCCCACAGCCCUUGAGAGAGCUCUUUUGAGCCCUAAACCGUGGAGAGCUGAGGUAAGAGCUCCCCUCUCUUGUUUUUCUCCCUUUUUCUUGGGAUUUAGCUUGGUUUGAUAUCCUCUUUUUGCUUCUCCUUGCCUUAUGUUGGAUUUUCCACCUUGGAGAAGCCUUGGAUUGAGGAUUGGAGCUUGUUGGAGGAGAGAUCUUCAACCCUAGCUCAUUUCAAGCUUGGUUUGGAGCUUGUGGAGAGGUUAGUAUCUUAGAUCUUCUCUUUAGAUCUUGUUUUUGUGGAAUUUUUUAGAUAAAACCUAGAAAUAAGAAAUCUAGGGUUUAUUUGGGAAUUUUUGAUUUGUAGCUUUUGAAGCUUAAUUGAUUGGUUUAGAACCUUCAUCUAGGUUGGAUUAGAAGUGUUCUCUAACUUCCAUUUGGGAUUUGAGGAGGUUUUUCCAACAUUUAGGUGAGUUUUGACUCUAUAUUGGGUUGAUUAAUGUUAUACUCAUGAGAUGUUUGUUCUUUACUCUUAACCCUCUUAGAAAUUCUCUUAGGGUGCUAGGAGCUUGGGGGACAACUUCAUUCGAAAGAACAAAAAAGUUCGAAGAUCAUCCGGUGGGUUUGACCUCACCGAAAUGGGUGAACUCCCCCUAUGCUAUUUUUCUUGUUAUAAAAGUAGAAAUUCAUGCAUAUUAAUGCUUGAUAGAGUGUCACGCCCCGAGCCCGCCUCUUUGAUCGGAUUUGGGCACGCCGACAGACCACCGAACGGACAGAGUCUCCCCUAUACGUCCAAGGCGUCGCAAUCAAUACAGUACAAGAGGUUCCAACUAGGAACAGUAUUCAACCAGAGAUUACAUAAGGAAGUAUAAAAAACAUAAACAACUAGCUAUUACAAGCAUUCGUCUCAAUUUAACAUUUAGGUUACAUAUUACAUUGCUUUAACUAGAUUCUUACUUCCAAAUACAAUCCAAGUUGCUACAAAUUAUUACAAGUUUGAUUCUUUGUCCUCUAAACCCCUAAGCUAAACCACCUUGGGGUAAAGCUAUCUCUGGUCUCUGGGGUAGGGCGCUAUCUACGGAACUACGCCCUUUUCUCGCGCCGCCGCGCCACUUACAUGUGUAUCUGUAACACCCCAAAACAACGUGGGGUGAGAACCAACUCCAUGGUUCCCAGUGGGUAUGGCCACCCAAGGGAAAAGCUCGACCAAUAGGUCCAAUGAGGCACUGCAACAGGUUAGUCCAAUAACAUACAACAGGUAUUUAUACUUUUACUCAAUAUUGAACUAUAUGUCAUGCCUCACAAUAUGCAAUAUGAAAUCAUGCAACUAUCAAAGUAGAUUAAUUGAUACUACUUCCCAUUCUUAGCCAUUCUUUAUUAUUAGACACUUAUUCUUUACACUUUAGCUAUUCUUCACCGUUAGCCAUUUUCUUGCAAUCAUUAGCUAUCCCUUAGCAUUAGCCGUUUCUAUUCCUUAUUCUUUAUUCUUUAUUUUUUAUCCUCUACUAAGGGCACUCACACCUUAAUCAUAUUAUACACAAUUGCCACUCUUUCCUAAGGUUACUUUACCUUAGCCAACUAUGCCACUCGACUCGGUCUUGAGUCAAUCAACUGCGGAUAAUCCGCGCUCUGUAACACACUGGACCUUUGCAAAUUGCGAGGUUCGAGUGUUUGAUCAGUGUGUCGAGCUUUUUCAGACUUUCUGGAAGGUCGUAGACAGUGUUCCGACCUAUGGCUCGCAUCCCGAGAAUUGUGGUUUUAAGCUGGUGCCAAAAGCCCAAAAAGAUUGGACCUUGGUCAGCUCUCGGGUAGCCUGCAGCAGAGCUUGUACCGGAACAAGACUAGUCUUGUACCGGAACAAGACUGGUCUUGUACCGGUACAAGGUUGAUAGUUGUACCGGUACAGCCAUCGGGCUUGUACCGGUACAGAGCCGCAGACCCCGCAACCCGAGCCUUGGGUUUGCAUUUUCGUGGUCCUUGUACCGGUACAAGGACCCGUGUACCGGUACAAGGCGGCAGAUUGCCAGUUUGAACUGCAAGGGGUUUUUCGCGAUUGUAGCCUAUCUAUAUCAGCCCCCACGCCCUUGGGGACUCUCCCUGAGCUGAGAUCACAGGAGAAGAAGGUAAGGGCUUCCUCUCUUCUUCCCCCCUUGGAUUUUACUCCUUUUUGCUUGGAUUUAGGAAGCUUUUUGCUCUCUUUUGCUUCCUAGAGCAUUUUCCACCUUUGGAGAGGGCUUGGGGCUUGGUUUUGAGCUUUGUAGAGGAACAAUCUUAGAAGUUGUGGACCUUUGAGCUUGGAUUGAAGCUUCUAAGAGGUAAGCAUGUUGUUCCCUCCCUCUAGAUUUUGGUUUUGAUGUUUUAUAGUAGAUGAAACCUUAGAUUGUGAUAUUAGGGUUUAUUUUGGGUAUUUUGAAUCUAGGACUUUUGAAGCUAGAUUGAGUGGAUUAGCGGCUUCCAUUUGGUUGGUUUGGAAGGGCUUUAGCUCUCUUUUGGAGCUUUAGAGGAGAUUUUUGCACUAGAGGUGAGUUUUCCUCACCUAUACUUGAUUAGCUUAAUGAUUGAGCUAGGUAUUGUUCGUUUGGCUCGUAUGACACAUGUUUUUAUACCUCUAGGGUACUAGGAGACUAGAGGACACCCUCGUGGGAGCACACGAGGAGUUUCGUUGUCAUCGGUGGGUUUGGCUUCGUGGAAAUGGGGCAAAAUGGCCCCUAUGCUCUUUCUACUUGUCGUAAAAUAUUUUAAAUUCAUUUCUAUGCUAAAUAGAAUUUAUAUGAAUUUUAGAGCACUUAAAAUGCAUGCCUUGUGUAUUAUGAAAAAUUUCACUAUAUAGUAGAACUAUAUGAGUAGAACGUAUGCAUACGGAAAAAAUGUUUUUUUUGCAAGUGGAAAAUACAUCUUUUAUGAGGAUUAUGACUUGGAAUAUGUACUUUGGAACAUAGUUGCCAUGCUUUGACAUAGAGAACAAGAGUGUCAUCAAGGGGCACUUGAAACUAGUAAACUAUUAAACUGCAACAUAGAGACAUAUUGAUAGGCCACUACGCAUCUGCUAUAUUCCAUGUUAAAGACAUGAUGAUAUAGAGAUAGGCCAUUGAGAUACUUGAUAUAUUCCAUGUUGUUAGACAUGAGGACUUGGUACUUGAGACAGAUCAUUGCUUGCUUGCCAUUGCGCUCAUUCACACAUGCUUGUGAGGGUCGCUCCCUACAAGCCGGCACUCCGGAGAUAGCCAUCGCGACAUAUGCUCGCCCGUGCGGGAUUGGGCGCCGAAGUGGAUUGCCGUGGGGGAGGCUCAUCCCUAGAGUGGGGAUGUUGACUACCACAGGGCCAUUAGGCACGGCGCAGACCAGACAGCCUUCGGGUGGGUCUUAUAUGAUUGGGACUUGGUGACAGAACAUGCUAUGUGAACUUUAUAACUGUUAAAGUGGACAUGGACUAGAAUAGUAAACAACGACAUCUUUACUAUUACAUUGUGGACUUUCGGUAGUUGCAUAAUCAUGCUUUAUAUGUUGGGUGUUCAUGUGCAUAUAGCUAGUAGUUGUUUUCUUACUUAUGUAAAUUAUGCUAAGUAGAGAUAUCAUGAUUAUUGGGCACUCUUUUAUUUAUUUACUUACAGUGCAUUUAUCGCUUUUGUUAUAGUUGUACACUGACCCUCUUUUAUAUUUUUGGGCCUAGUGGUGCAUUUCACUGAAGUCAGUAAUUGCCCACUGGAAACUAUUAUUUAAUAGUUCUCACGCCCCUGUUUCUAUGUUUCCUUUUCAGAGCCUUCGGCACCGGCGGAGGCACGGGAUCGCGGCAAGGGUGUCGCGUAGCUAGCUCGCGGAGAGUUUUUUUGCGCUAGGUGAUUACUCCUCCAUUUUAUAUUUUAAAAAAAAGGAAGAGGUUUUGUACCAUGUAUAGAGAGACCACCUUGUACUCCUUUUAGCACUUGUUAUGGGAUCCCUAUUGUACUUACUUUAUAUUUUUAUUUAGUGGACUUUCAGCUUUAUGUCCUUUCCUUGCUAUAGAACUAGUUAUACAAUGCUCUGAUAUCACUAGAUCUCUUGUAUUAUUGUUUUAUCUAUCGAAAUUUUUGUAGACGCCUUAUAUGUUUUAGACGUAUGGCGGGUCUGGACAUGCGCCGGGUAGGCUUCCGCUGAGCCCCGGGGCGUGACACGCUCUGUCAGGCUUGAGGCGAAUGACGUCUCACAUGCACCUCAGCCUUAAAUCCUCUCGACUAUAGGUCUACUCACAGGGUGAGGAUAUCCGUCGAACCCCGGACCACAAGUCGCUCAAUGGACCUACGGGCGAGAAGAACCACACGUACCUGCGUCCCCAAUCUCAUACUCAAACCGGGCGAGGAGAACCACACGCACCCGAUGAGUCACUGCCAAGCAAGGAGAACCACACGUACCUGCAGUGGCCAUACACUUGCGCUCGGUCGCAAGGCUCAUCCGCUGUACUAGUAGCCACUGCACUAGCAGCACUCAUUCCUAAGGAUUCCGGAAUCCACAUUCUUAACUCUAGGGUUGGUCGUAAACCCUAUAGUGUUGACCUAUCUAGGUCCCAAGCAUUCCUCAUCCUAAGGUUUAUAACAUUAGGUCUAAUGUUCUUUAUCACCUAGGUUUAUUUGACUCUAGGUUCAAUGCCACUCUUUUCAUAGCCUAGGUUUACUUGGCCCUAGGUUCAAUUCUCAACAUAUGUUUAGUACACCAAGGUUAAUGCCACUCACCUAGGUUUAUUUAACUCUAGGUUCAAUUUCAACCUAUAUUCUCUAACAUUAGGUUUAUUGCCAUUCUUGUUUAACCUAUGUUUGUUAACACCAGGUUCAAUAUCACUCCUGUUCAACGUAUGUCCUUGACACUAGGUUCGAUGCCGCUAGAUCUAGUAUAUAUAUACAUAUGUCCACAUGCACUUGUCAUUUAACAUAGUUCUCUAUAUGUCAACUUGCACUCGUUUAGCAUUCUCAUAUCAUCAUUCAUUUUCUUAGCAUUAACCACAUGCUUCUCAUGUAUUCACUUGGCAUUCUUACAACAUGCAACAUGCAUUCAACUAGCAUUAAUCAAUGCAUUUAUCUAGCAUUUCUAUAACAUGUUUAUCAUGUAUUCUUUGAGCAUUCUUAUUUCAUAUCAAUAUGCAUUUCAACAUGUUUCUACACAUUCCCUCUAGCAUGUUCUUAUAAUAUCAACAUGCAUAUGCCAUUUACUUUAUGCUUUCCACUAGCAUUAUUCACACUAUAUCAUCAUGCAUUAUUUGGUAGCCCAACAUAGCAUUCAUCCUAUGCAUUCGCAUGUUCUAUCAUUAGCUACCACUAUAUGCAUCAAUGAUAAACACUCAUCUUAGACAUACAGGCGACCUAGUCACUUCGGUAAACACAACCCACCUUAACUUAUUCUCCGAUUGCUCGUAGUCACUUGCAAUCUGCCUCCCGCGGCACCCGUUGCCUUGUUCGGCCCAAACUCGCGCGCGACCACCCAAACGACCACCGAUCGACAAUCCGGAAAUUAAAGGUUUAUAACUUGAUACCACGUUGCUCCGGAUCCAUUUUCAUGAUUUUUGGACGCCGCCUCGGCCCUCCAGGCGGAAACGAAGCCGAAACGUCCGUUUCUUCAAUAUCUUCGCAUAGGCUCGACAAAUCGCCGAACCGACUUCGCCAACGCGUUCGUAUACCUAGCAAUUAGGUUUACGUAGGGUUAAUUUAGAUCAAACCCAAAUAUUUUACAAAAACCCCAUUUUGAACCCUAACAUGCUACUAUUGCAAGAAAUCAUUAUAUAGCUCCAUGAUUCAAGCAUUAAUCCUCUAAUUAGCAUCUAGGAGCUCCACUAAAUUCAUUUUUAUAGCAUAUAAUUGAAGCCUUAGUAUUCUACCAUUGUUGCUAUCAAAACUUACCUCUCAAGCUAGCACCAAUGGAGAGGAAGAAGACGAAGAAGAAAAUAAUCCACCUUCUUGAUUCCUUCUCUACCAAUCCUUCUCUUGAUUCUACCUUCAAGAGAGAGAGAGAUCCUUCCUUCUUUGCAAGUGUGAGAGAGAGGGAGAGGGUGUGUGCGUGCGUGUGUUGUGUGCGUGGGCUGAUGGAGGAGAAGAAAAGGGGAGAAAUCCCUUUUAUACAAAGCCCCUUAACACUAUUCACUUCAGUUUAGCAGCACGAUACAGAUAUUUUUCGCUUGCCCUUCUGAAUGUCCGUUUGAGCUCAAAUUUGACAGUCAUGCUCGGUUUUACUUAACUUAACGAAAGAAUUUUUAAUCUUUCAGCUUCGACCCCGUUUGGUCACCGAAAGCUCUACCGAACUGUAAUCUCUAGCAGAUAGCAGUCGGAUUUUAUUUUUCACUUUUUGGGUGUCAGAAUGGUAUGAAACUUUAAAUCUAGUCUCAUAAAAAUAAUUCUGACAUAUUCUUCAGUUUUCAUAAUUUUCUGACACUGUACAUUUUCUGCUAAUUUAUCUGCCCCGUUUCUCACAUAAAAUUUUAAAUCUUCUGUUUUCGCUCCGAUUUCAACACAGGUCAUUUCCAACUUAUAUUUCACUUCUCUAAAUCCAAUAAAAAUAGUAUCUCAUACUAUUUUUAUUUAUUUUUAUUUUUAUAUCAAAAUCUGGUAUGUUACAUUCUCCACCCCUUAAAAGAAUUUCGUCCGCGAAAUUCAAACCACGCCUCAAUUUAGCUCCUCGAGCAAUUGAGUGCAUCAAUGCACUUUCCUACUCCGGAAUGGCCUUACGUUCAUCGGAACGAUUCAAAGGCCUGCUACGGAGGAUACGAAAUCAAACGCAUAUACGUUUGCAAGGCGCAGCACAUAAAGUGCAUUACGGCCUCCAUGAUUCUCGGUGGCAGCGCAAGUCAAAACUAGACGACACUACGCGCUCCAACACCACGUGCCACAAAGGUCUAUCGCCUAACCUGUCUAAAUAUGCAGCGUCUCUCGCUCGCAAAUGCAGACCCAAUCAUUAUCAGGCGAAAUUCUCACUUGGGAAUUCGCACACACUCCAACCAGGAGCAACUAAAAUUCCAAACCUUUACAGAUCCCAGGGUUGGGUUACCAUCGCACUCUCGGCAUACUAUCAAUCGCACGAUACGCUCUACCGAGCCACACGUACCACUAUCGGCUUCUAUGCACCUAGGGCGAGCCACCAGCCCUAGGGCGAGCCACCAGCCCUACGAGUGAUCCAUGGCAUGCUUCACACCUAGCAAUGCUCAAAUGCUACUGCCAACACACUCCCUCGGCUGAACCAAAUCCGCACUCCACGAGUACCUAUACUCGAGCGUCGUACGCUACUAUAGCGUUCUACACUAAGUCUUGGCUUUGGGCAACAUUGCCCCCGCGCACCGUCUACCAAACACAUUCUCCUACCUCACAUUGAGGUACAAUUAGGCCCACAGGCCAAACUUGGUUACUAACCAACUAUUCCGUCAACAGUGAUUCUACUUUCACUAUUCGACCCACAGGAAUGACAUCCGAAAUUUUCGGAUUACUCGGGUGUCCUCAAAUACACAGCUCAACUCUCGCAAUCGACUAAUUAAGUUGUACUGAGAGUCGCUUCACCAUUUCCAUCUCUAUCAUGAGUCUCAUCAUCUCUCACCAUAUAUCACUACUAGCACUUCGCUAGUGCCAUCUGGCUCUAUACCUGUACUGGCAGAUACUAUGCCCUCACAACACGAGCAUACCCGGGUAUCUAUACUUACCCGUCCACUCGGUCUCUACUAUGCUCAUGCACGACAAUAGUAAUUAACCACAUAACCAUCGCAUGCAAUGCAUGAAUUUCACAUCAUGCAAAAGCAUAUGCUUGCUUUAAUUAACUCAUACCUACAAGCCGUCGUCAGCAACAGGGUCCUCAACCUGGGUCGUGUAUCUAUGGCUACCCGGCGCUCGCCGCGAACCCUUCGGUUGCAUCGUCCUUAAUGCCCUCUCUCCCAACUAUGCCGUAGGUGGCACACCUACAGACCGUCACAGAGAAGAAUAGGCUGUCGCCAGUGUCAGUCCCGGGCUGUCACCUUGCGGACACUCGUCAGCGCACAGCCCGGUUGCCCACACCUGUAGCACUUGCCCUUUCACAGCUCAUACUAUUGUGGGUAACGAAAACACCCUCAAACAACACAUCUCACAAAGGACCGAAUACAGUAGGUCCCGGAACUCGGGAUCGCGAGCGCGAACACAUUGCACUCGGUUGAGAACUUGACGGAUCACCAAAUCCACUCGUUGGUCGUCCUAUUUCCUUUUUUCCUGCAAUUAGACUCACGCUCCACCCGCACAAUUGCACUGCCUUAUUCUAUCCACAAGGCCUAAUCCUUAAAUCUCCUCCAAUCUCCACCAAUCCACACUCGGGAAGGGCUCCAAGAGAAAUAGAGGGAGAAAAAUCACAUGUUGGGUGGUCUCUGGCUGUGAACAAGAGAGGAGGAGUUGGUGGGGUCUAUAUAGGAUGCCACAAUCGCAUUUAAACCCUUCCUCCAUUCAUAUUUGCAGCAGACCAAUUUGGUGCAGCCAGACCAAAGUGUACCGGUACACUUUGGGCUGUCACCGGUUACACGAUUCCGCAGAGGCAAACCCGAGAGCAAGGUUCUCGGUUACGUGGGAUUUGUACCGGUACACUUUCAUUUUGUACCGGUACGCUUCCAACCUUUAUCAAACCCGAGAGCAGCUCUCUCGGUUAUGCACCAUUUGUACCGGUACACUUUCGUCCAUCCACAAACCCAAGAGCAACCUUCUCUCGGUCUGCUGGUUGUACCGGUACAGCAUUAAUGUUGUACCGGUACACUUUGCUCCAGAAUGCAGCUUUAGCUCUGAUUCUACUCUACUUCGCGCCGAUCAAUGCUAAAACCUCUCUAACUCUUUCUAAACUCAAUUUUAACCCUUCCAACAUUGUUGGAAUGUCAAUUGGACUUUGUCCAACUAUUUCUCUGGACGCAUUUUGGUCAAUUUGACAAAAAGUGAUCUAACACGACGAGAAUUCCGUUAAUUUCUCAAAGGUCACGAGGGCCGCCAAAACUCGCGAAGUUCCAAGUCUCCGCUCGCCUCAAACUAGCCAGGGACACCACUUGGCCCAUCCCGCGCCAAUCUAAACGAAGAUCGCCUACGCAGUGCUAUCGCUUCCUAAAAUGCGACAACUCUAUUAAUCCUCGACCUUCUAGGUCGAACACGAGACACUUAGGGCGUGUUUGGUUCAAAGUCGGAAUCGGAAUCAGAAUCGGAAUCGAAAUAAGCUGGAAUCGGAAUCGGAAUGACUCAUUACCUAAUUCUGUUUGGUUCAUCACCUGAAUCGGUGGCUGCUAAGACUAAGACUAAAUCCACUACUUGGUUCAGGUAAUAUAAAAAACGUAAUCAGAUUAAUAUAUUAACUUAUCUUUAUAUAUAUUAAUUUAAAUUCAAAUUAAAUAUUAAAUAUUAAAAUUUUACAUCAAAAUUUGAAAUGAUGUCAAAAUUUAAAUCUAUUUUUUUACACAAAAUUAAACUUUGAAGUUGAGUGGAUAAUUCGAAAUAUAAAACUAAAUUUCAAUUUAUUCAAAUUCAAACUUAAAAUUACAAUUUAAAUUUUAAUUUGAAUCCAUAAAUUUAAUUUAAGUUUUAAAUAAAAUUUGAAUAAAACUUUAUAUAAAUUAAAAUUUAAUUUAAAUUCAAAUUCAUAAGUUAGAUUCGAAAUACUUGAUUAAAUUUUAAUUUUUAAUUCAAGUUCAUAUUUAAAAUUUAAUUUCUAAAUUUAAACUCAUAUUUUAAUUAAAAAAGUUGAAAAAAUAAAUUUAAUACGAAUAAAUAUCCAUUUCGUCCGGAUUCAACUCCCAAUCCGGCCUCCUAAGCCGGAUUGAAAAAAGGGGUGAUUGGGGGAUUCCCAUUCCACUCGGGAAUCGGAAUCGGAAUGGGACUCCCGCGUACCAAACACCCACAAACGGAUUCAUCCAUUCCGAUUCCGAUUCUAGGGUGAAAAAGAAGUGAACCAAACACGCCCUUAAUACCGACCCAAAUCGGGCGAAAGUUACACAAGGGCGUCUAUUCUCAUCACUCGGUUUUAUGUUGUGCGCGCCCAACACGAACACCCUCAGUUGAAAAUAAACCACACCUUAAAUCUAUCUCUAACAUCCGUUUUAGAGGUUUACGACACAACCCAAUCAAGUAACCUUUCGCCAAAAGUCACAAGUCCUCGUCUCUCACGAACCUUAAUCUUCUAUGGUUCACUAUCCUAGGGUCUUCUAGGUCCGACUAAACUAUUUUCUAUUAUUCUUUUUAUUCUCUGAUACCAUCUUAUCUGUUACACCCCGAGCCCGCCUCUUUGAUCAGAUUCGAGCAUGCCGACAAACCGCCGAACGGAUAGAGUCUCCCCUGUAUGUCCAAGGCGUCGCAAUCAAUACAGUACAAGAGAUUCCAACUAGGAACAGUAUUCAACCAUAGAUUGCAUAAGAAAGUAUCAAAAACAUAAACAACUAGCUAUUACAAGCAUUCGUCUCAAUUUAACAUUUAGGUUACAUAUUACAUUGCUUUAACUAGAUUCUUACUUCCAAAUACAAUCCAAGUUGCUACAAAUUAUUACAAGUUUGAUUCUUUGUCCUCUAAACCCCUAAGCUAGACCACCUCGAGGUACGGCUAUCUCUGGUCUCUAGGGUAGGGCGCUGUCUACGGAGCUACGUCCUUUCCUCGCGCCGCCGCGCCGCUCACGUGUGUACCUGUAACACCCCCAAACAACGUGGAGUGAGAACCAACUCCAUGGUUCCCAAUGAGGACGGCCUUCUACAACAGGUAUUUAUACUUUUACUCGAUAUUGAACUACAUGUCAUGCCUCACAAUAUACAAUAUGAAAUCAUGCAACUAUCAAAGUAGAUUAAUUGAUACUACUUCCCAUUCUUAGCCAUUCUUUAUUAUUAGACACUCAUUCUUUACACUUUAGCUAUUCUUCACCAUUAGCCAUUUUCUUGCAAUCAUUAGCUAUCCCUUAGCAUUAACCGUUUCUAUUCCUUAUUCUAUAUUCUUUAUUCUUUAUUCUCUACUAAGGGCACUCACACCUUAAUCAUAUUAUACACAAUUGCCACUCUUUCCUAAGGUUACUUUACCUUAGCCAACUAUGCCACUCGACUCGGUCUUGAGUCAAUCAACUGCGGAUAAUCCGUGCUCUGUCAGGUUCGAGGCGAAGGACGUCUCACAUGCACCUCAGCCUUAAAUCCUCUAGACUAUAGGUCUACUCACAGGGUGAGGAUAUCCGUCGAACCCCAGACCACAAGUCGCUCAAUAGACCUACGGGCGAGGAGAACUACACGUACCCGCAUCCCCAAUCUCAUACUCAAACCGAGCGACGAGAACCACACGUACCCGAUGAGUCACUGCCAGGCGAGGAGAACCACACGUACCUGCAGUUGCCAUACACUUGCGCUCGGUCGUAAGGCUCAUCCGCUGCACUAGCAGCACUCAUUCCUAGGGAUUUCGGAAUCCACAUUCUUAACUAUAGGGUUGGUCGUAAACCCUAUAGUAUUGACCUAUCUAGAUCCCAAGCAUUCCUCAUCCUAAGGUUUAUAACAUUAGGUCCAAUGUUCAUUAUCACCUAGGUUCACUUGACUCUAGGUUCAAUGCCACUCUUUUCAUAGCCAAGGUUUACUUGACGCUAGGUUCAAUUCUCAACCUAUGUUUAGUACACAAAGUUUAAUGCAACUCACCUAGGUUUAUUUAACUCUAGGUUCAAUCUCAACCUAUGUUCUCUAACAUUAGGUUUAUAGCCAAUAUUGUUUAACCUAUGUUUGUUAACACCAGGUUCAAUAUCACUCCUGUUCAACCUAUGUCCUUGACACUAGGUUCGAUGCCACUCGAUCUAAUAUAUAUAUACAUAUGUCCACAUGCACUUGUCAUUUAACAUAGUUCUCUAUAUGUCAACUUGCACUCGUUUAGCAUUCUCAUGUCAUUAUUCAUUUUCUUAGCAUUAACCACAUGCUUAUCAUGUAUUCACUUAGCAUUCUUACAACAUACAACAUGCAUUCAACUAGCAUUAAUCAAUGCAUUCAUCUAGCAUUUCUAUAACAUGUUUAUCAUGUAUUCUUUGAGCAUUCUUAUUUCAUAUCAAUAUGCAUUUCAACAUGUUUCUACACAUUCCCACUAGCAUGUUCUUAUAAUGUCAACAUGCAUAUGCCAUUUACUUUAUGCUUUCCACUAGCAUUAUUCACACUAUGUCAUCAUGCAUUAUUUGGUAGCCCAACAUAGCAUUCAUCCUAUGCAUUCACAUGUUCUAUCAUUAGCUACCACUAUAUGCAUCAAUGAUAAACACUCAUCUUAAACAUACAAGCGACCUAGUCGCUUCGGUAAACACAACCCACCUUAACUUAUUCUCCGAUUGCUCGUAGUCACUUGCAAUCGGUCUCCCGCGGCACCCGUUGCCCGGUUCGGCCCGAACUCGCGCGCGACUACCCAAACGACCAUCGAUCGACAAUCUGAAAAUUAAAGGUCUAUAACUAGAUGCCACGAUACUCCGGAUCCAUUUUCAUGAUUUUUGGAUGCCGCCUCGGCCCUCCAGGCGGAAAUGAAGCCGAAACGUCCGUUUCUUCAAUAUCUUCACAUAGGCUAGACGAAUCGCCGAACCGACUUCGCCAACAUGUUCGUAUACCUAGCAAUUAGGUUUACGUAGGGUUAAUUUAGAUCAAACCCAAACAUUUUACAAAAACCCCAUUUUGAACCCUAACAUGCUACUAUUGCAAGAAAUCAUCAUACAGCUCAAUGAUUCAAGCAUUAACCCUCUAAUUAGCAUCUAGGAGUUCCACUAAAUCCAUUCUUAGAGCAUAUAAUUGAAGCCGUAGAAUUCUACCAUUGUUGCUAUCAAAUCUUACCUCUCAAGCUAGCACCAAUGGAGAUGAAGAAGACGAAGAAGAAAAUGAUCCACCUUCUUGAUUCCUUCUCCACCAAUCCUUCUCUUGAUUCCACCUUCAAGAGAGAGAGAGAUCCUCCUUCUUUGCAAGUGUGAGGGAGAGGGAGGGGGGGUGUACGUGCGUGUGUUGUGUGCGUGGGUUGAUGGAGGAGAAGGAAAGGGGAUAAAUCUCUUUUAUACAAAGCCCCUCAACACUAUUCACUUCAGUUUAGAAGCACGGUACAGAUAUUUUUCGUCUGCCCUUCUGAAUGUCCGUUUGAGCUCAAAUUUGACAGUCAUGCUUGGUUUUACUUAACUUAACGAAAGAAUUUUUAAUCUUUCAGUUUCGACUCCGUUUGGUCACCGAAAGCUCUACCGAACUGUAAUCUCUAGCAGAUAGCAGUAGGAUUUUAUUUUCCACUUUUCGGGUGUUAGAAUGGUAUGAAACUUUAAAUCUAGCCUCAUAAAAAUAAUUCUGACAUAUCCUUCAGUUUUCAUAAUUUUCUGACACUGUGCAUUUUCUGCUAAUUUAUCUGCCCCUUUUUCACAGAAAAUUCUAAAUCUUUUAUUUUCACUCUGAUUUCAGUACAGGUCAUUUUCAACUUAUAUUUUACUUCUCUAAAUCCAAUAAAAAUAGUAUCUCAUACUAUUUUUAUUUAUUUUUACUUUUAUAUCUGUGACACCCCAAUAAUCUCACAUCGGAUGGGAAUGUGGUUGUCAUUGGGUUUAUAAGAGACUUAGACACUCGUAAUAAUAACUGGGCUUAAGCAUUUUGGGCCGGUGGUUGGGCUCAACGAGUUAUUGUUGCUAGCGGGUCGGGUCGUUACAUUUGGUAUCAGAGUCGGUUCACCAGCUGGAUAUGUGUGGCGAGUCUCGGCUGAGCCAGGGUCUGGAUGACGGGCUAGCGAGACGAGUCUCACAUCGCCUGGUGAUCUUGGGCUGUGUGUGUGAUUGGACUGACGAGGAUGUCAGGGCCUUAGCGGGGGGAGUUUGUGACACCCCAAUAAUCCCACAUCAGAUGGGAAUGGGGUUGUCAUUGGGUUUAUAAGAGACUUAGACACUAGUAAUAAUAACUGGGCUUAAGCAUUUUGGGCCGGUGGUUGGGCCCAACGAGUUGGGGUUGUCAUUGGGUUUAUAAGAGACUUAGACACUAGUAAUAAUAACUGGGCUUAAGCAUUUUGGGCCGGUGAUUGGGCCCAACGAGUUAUUAUUGCUAGUGGGCUAGGUCGUUACAAUAUCAAAAUCUGGUAUGUUACAUAGAGCAUAUGAAAUUUUAGAAUGCUUAAGAUACAUGUCUUAUGUUUCAUAAGAAUUACCUCUAUGUAGUAGAGAGAGAUAUAUGCAUUGUUAUUAUGCAUGAGAAUAGCAUUCUAUUAUAUGGUUUGAGAACAUAUUUCGUGUAAUGAAAAUGACUAGAAAAAUAUGCUCUUUGACUUAAAACUCACAUUUGACAUAGUGGACAAAAUGCCAUAAAGAGGCAUUUAACUUAGCAUUACUUGUAUAAUGACAUUAUACUUGUUGUAGGCAAGGUAAUUGCGACAUUGAGAUAUAGCGCAUGAUAUGGUCAUCUUGAAGCUAAGCUUGGUGCAUUUAACUUAAUUGAACAACUAGAACUGGACAUGUGACAUUGUGACUUGGUGCACUUAACCUAGUUAAUUCACUAGUAUUAGCCAUUGUGACAUUAUAUUCGAUCUAGGGAUCGAUAGUGAUGUUCCAUGUUUUAGACAUGAGGAAAGAUGGAUUUAAAGCUUUUGGGGUGAACCUAAUAGAGAUGAUUGCAUGCAAUUCUAGUAGAAUUAAUUAUGUGCAUUAUAAUACUUUUACUCCAUGUAGUGGGGAUGUUAGUGGAAUGACAUAUGCAUGACAUGCAUUGUGGUACUUGUGGUCAUAUCAUAAUUCAUUUGCAUAUGGUAUCAGUAAAUGUUUCUUUUGACAAUUGUUGUAAUUACAUGUUGAGAACCUAGUUGGAGACUUGCAUGAAAUUGUGAACUAUCCUAGAUAGGAUAAUGGUAAGUGUUAUGUGCUUAUAAACUAUUGACUUAUACUUGAUAUAGUAAACAUGAACGUCAUAUAGUGACAUUUGGAUUAGUAAAUGACUAAACCUUCACAAUGGGAUACUUUAUUGAACCUUUGGGUCAUUGGUACUUAUUUCAUAUUUUAGACAUGAUGACCGAGAGCUAGAUACUAUUGAUCAUGCUUGCUUGUCUUUGUGCUCAUUCGCACAUGCUUGUGAGGGUCGCUCUGCACAAGCCGGCACUCCGGAGAUAGCCUACGCGACACAAGCUCGCCCGUGCGGGAUUGGGCACCGAAAUGGGAUACCGUGGGAGAGGCUCAUUCAUAGAGUGAAAACGUUGACUACUACAGGGUCAUUUUUGGCAUGGCGCAAGCCGGACUACACACAUAUAGAUCCAUGACGAGGAUUGAACUAUAAUUAAAGUACUAGUGUAGUAACCCGCGUGAUACUGCGGACAGAUAUUAUUAUAAUAAAUUUUUUUCUUUAUAAUGACUUUAAGAUAGAUAAUGGUAAAAAAUCUAAAUAAUCUCUCAUAUAAUAGGCAAAAGAAGAAAGAAGCAAUAAAAAAAUGAGAGCAUUUAAAGCUAAAAUUAAACGAAAGCAACUGUAACUCUCAGCAGCUUUAAACAAUAAAUAAUUUGACAUACUUAAACAACUUCUAAAUAUCAAAUAUAAUAAACUCAUAUAAGACUUGGAAGAGUAGCAGAACGCCUUUAAUAACUCAGAGCUUGGCUUGGAUCGUUCUGAUUGGAGUUUUACUUUCUGUUGAAUCAUUUGAGCUUGUGCCAUAACUUUGUGUAAAACUGCAUUAAUAUUGAUGCGCAAUGAUUCUUAGAAUAAGUUGUUAAAAGAAAAUGAUCCAUUGAUAGAAAGAGUAGUUGAUUAUAACAUAAGCAAAAGAAAUGGGGCAUUUCUGUAUACUACUAAAUUUUGCAAUCCGUGCAAAUCAAUUAUGAAAAUGUAAUAAACUAAGAAGCACUAAUAACCAAAAAAAAAGAAAAGAAAAGAAAUNAAAGGAAAGAGAGGGCACUGCUUUGGUUUGUUUUGGUUUAGUUUUAAAUAUGCGGUAAGCGGUUGGGUUUGGUUCAGAGUUCAGAGAGAGAGAUAUUUCAGUCGGUUCGGUUCAUAUAUCUAGAGAGAGAUAAAUGGUUCGAUUCAAGUGCUAUAGAUGGAAUAGGCGGCUCGGUUCGGUUCAAUUUACAAAAGGGAUGAAGGAUAAUAAGAGGAAUCAAGGAUAACUUGCCACGUGUCAAAAGAUAUUGUGGCUUCAUAUAUGUUUAUAGAUAAUGUAGAAACUACUACUAGAUGGUGUAUAUUAGUUGGACUAGUAGACAUGCAUGAUAGUGCAUAUUGUGGACUUUAUGUUAGUCAUUCAUAGCAUUGACACUCUAGUGAUAGUAUGUUUACAUCUACAUUGAUUGUAUGUACGCAUGGCUAGAAUAACAAUGAAAAGCAUAAAUUACUCCAUGUAGCAUUAUAUAUGGACAUUAUGAUUAUGCAUGUAAAUGGACAGUGACAUACAUUUGAUUAAGCAUGUUAAUCAACAUUGACAUAUAGUUGAUCAAGUGAAAGUAGAACAUCAUAUACAUAAUAGUUAAACUUGUAGCAGAGGCAUGACUAUGAUUAAUUACUUGAUUUUCAUAUAUUUGCGUAAUUAUUUCCCUUACAAUAUGCCUUUGUUAGCCUAGUGGUGUAUUUCGCUGAGGUCGGCGACUUGCCCACUGGGAACUAUUGUUUAAUAGUUCUCACGCCCUCUGUUUUGUUUUUUGUUUCAGAGCCAUCUGCAUCGGGAGAGGCUAGGGAUCGUAGCAAGGAGUUAGCGACUAGCUAGAGCCCCUGCGGAGUUAUUUUAGAAAGACCCAACAUUAUCUUUCUUUUUAUACUUUGUGAAAAAAUGUAUAAUGUGUUUUGGUUUAGAGUUUAUGUUAGACUUUUGGAUUUAGUUGUAUACAUUCUGUUUAUAUUAUAUGUGGAUUUCUUUAUGCUAGAACAUUAGUGAUAUUAUAUUACUCGCUCUGAUAACCCUGUUAGGACUUUACUGUGUUCAUUUCUUGUUUUAGUAGACACCUUGUGUGCAUUGUGGUUGUUUGGUAUACACGAUGGGUCUGUGCAUGUGUCGGCGGGCUUCCGCUGGGCCCGGGGCGUGACACCCGCAGCAGAAAUUGCAACCCGAGAGCAGCUGUUCGCAGAAAAUGCAGUGGUACCGGUACGCCCCUGUGUGGUACCGGUACGCAUUGCUGAAAACCUGCAAUUUACAGAUUUCAAUGCUAAAAACCUGCUCUCGCGUCGUAACAAGUCCUUUUUGCGUCUAUUUUGCGCCAAAAUGACUCGGAUUUGUUCCGACAACUUCCAACUUGUGCGGCAAGCCUCAGAUGCUGAAAUCUCAUAGCUCCAGAACAUCAGGGGAUAUACAUAAUAUUAAUGAAUAUAUAAUAUAAAGAUUAAUAAUUUUGAUAUAUAAAACUAUAUAUAUAUAUAUAUAUAUAAUAUAUAUAUAUAUAUAUAUAUAUAUAUAGGGCUACUAUACUCUUAUAAGUAUUGGGCCCUUCGUACUCAUAAGUUGUUUUCGAUGAUAGGCCUUCCGAAUUGAUGGUCCACUCCGUUAAAUAUGAUCUAGAAUAUUUGAAACUUCUAAAAAAUAAAUUUCGUAAUUUUUCGAAAUCAUAAUAAGGUCUAUCAAAUGAGCAUAAAAUAAACGGUCAAAAUCGAACGACGUCAUAAAAAUGAAUGAUCGGAUCCUUCAAUUUAAGAUCGGAGUUAUUGAUCUUUAUCUAGGCAGUGAAUAGAAUUUUCUAUCAAAAAUUCAACCUAUUCCAAGUCUUUUACACCAUUAAAUUAGCAAGUAUCCCAUACCGGCCGUUAAAAAUUGUCAAUUUUGUGAGCUUUUGAUCGUAAGGUAAAUGAUGUCGAAAAAUUAUGAAAUUUGAUUUCUAGAAGUUUUAAAUGCUCUAGAUAAUGUUCAACGGUAUGGAUCGUUGAUUCGGAAACUCUAUCAUUGAUCAUACUCAUAAGUGUAUAGUAGCUUGAUUGUUUUGAAUCAUUAGAUCAUUUUUGAUAACAUAAUUUUGAUGAUUAGAUGAAUUAUGAAAUCAUAUAAUAUUUUAUAUUCAUCUUGAUAUUUUUGGAGUAAAAUUUUUAAUUAUUAUGAAUUUAAUUUUGAAUUUGGAUUAAUUUUAUAACUAAAACAAAGUAAUUUUUCGAAAAUCUGGGAGCUAGUACCGGUACUAAAUCCCGCGUACCGGUACCAGUACUGUAGACCGCAGGUUUGAAUCAACUUCAAGUGACAAAGAAAAGAGUGAAAAUCUUGCUUUAUUUACUAACACUUCUUUGCCUUCAUCUAAUGUUGUUUGUUUAUCCUCAAUUGUUUCUAAUUCUAGUGUUUCUCCUUCUUUGCAUGAAACUUCGAGCGAUGAUGGCGAGAGCGAGGAGGAGUCAAACGACGAGGAUUUAGCGGAAGCGUACAAUCAACUUCUUAUCGAAUCAAAGAAGAUGGCGAAGCAUAAUAGGAAGUUGAGGAGGCGUUUAUUGGACCUUGAAGAUGAUAACAACAAUUUGAGGACUACAAACAAAGCUCUUGAGGAGGAAAGGGAAUCAAUUUCGAAGAAUAAUUCGAUCCUCCAAAAGAUGCUAGAUGAAACGGAAUUAACGAUAAAAUCUUACCAAGACAAGAUUGGAUUUUUGGAGCAUCAAUUCAAGGAAACUCACGCAUUCAUUCAAGUGUUGACCAAUCAAGUUCGUCAACUCAAUUCCGACAUUCAAAGAUUUUCUUCUGGAUCAAAGAAAUUGGACCACAUGCUCGGAUUGGGUCAAACGAACAAGCUUAGUCUCGGUUACGAAAGGACAUAUGUUGAGAAGGAUCUAACGUCAAUUACUAAAGUCUCAACAAAUUCAAAGAAAAAUAUGUGUCAUAGUUGUGGCAUCAUAGGACGCAUCGAAAAGAAUUGCCCGACGAAGAACAAAAAAAAUCAAUCGGCAAUUUCUAAACAUCAAGUGGCAUCAUCUACCACUCGACUUCUCCAUCAGAAUUCAAAGCAAACUCAAUCUAGCCGAGUACAACAAGCAAACUGGAAUUCAAAGCUUCAACGGCAAUUUCAACCGAAGUCUCAUGCAACGUAACAACCAACGGUGGAUCAAAAAUCAAAACGAGUUGUGCCUAACGUCGACAAGCCAAAACGACCAACGAUCCGACAAGUUUGGAUCCGGAAAGUGAUAUCUUUCCUUGUUCUUCGUCUUAAUUUGCUUAUAUUUAUGUAAUGCUUUGAUUGGUGCUUAUUGCAUAUUUUUAUUAACUGCAUAACAUGUUUAGACGAUUGUUGGUGCUUGAAAUUUUUUUUAAAUUGUUUUGUGAAGGAUGCUUGGGAAUUAAAUUUUUUUUAAAAAAAGAGACGAUUUGAAAUCAUUAUUUUGGGGAGAAUAAGUUUUUUAAAGUGCCUUAAGCAAAUUAAAACCCAUUUUGAGUUAAAUUCAUAUUAAUUAUCGGUUUUACUCCACUUUUUAUUAUUUUGAUGAUAAAUUAUUAUAUGAAUUCUUAAUGCAUAUAUUCAUCAAAAUUUUGAAAUCAAAUUUGAGCUCUUGGUGAAUAAUCUAUCUUGGUUUUGUGUGUUGAUCAUGAUGAAUGGAUAUUCGCUAAU
rnacentral:lncRNA from 1 species